rnacentral:rRNA from 1 species
UUGGAGGGCAAGUCUGGUGCCAGCAGCCGCGGUAAUUCCAGCUCCAAUAGCGUAUAUUAAAGUUGUUGCAGUUAAAAAGCUCGUAGUUGAACUUCGGGGUUUACUCAUUGGUCAGGCUUAAUUGUCUGCACUGGUGAGAUGAAUCUCUACCUUCUGAGGAACUUUCAUGUCAUUUAUUUGGUGUGAUUGGAAAUCAGGACUGUUACUUUGAAAAAAUUAGAGUGUUUAAAGCAGGCUAACGUCUGAAUACAUUAGCAUGGAAUAAUGAAAUAGGACGGACUGAUUCUAUUUCGUUGGUUUCUAGGAUCACCGUAAUGAUUAAUAGGGAUAGUUGGGGGCAUUAGUAUUCAAUUGUCAGAGGUGAAAUUCUUGGAUUUAUUGAAGACUAACUACUGCGAAAGCAUUUGCCAAGGAUGUUUUCAUUAAUCAAGAACGAAAGUUAGGGGGUCGAAGACGAUCAGAUACCGUCGUAGUCUUAACCAUAAACUAUGCCGACUAGGAAUCGGGCGUCGUUAUUUUCACGACUCGCUCGGCGCCUUACGGGAAAC